rnacentral:rRNA from 1 species
UACGGAGGAUGCGAGCGUUAUCCGGAUUUAUUGGGUUUAAAGGGAGCGCAGACGGGAGAUUAAGUCAGUUGUGAAAGUUUGGGGCUCAACCUUAAAAUUGCAGUUGAUACUGGUUUCCUUGAGUGCAGUUGAGGCAGGCGGAAUUCGUGGUGUAGCGGUGAAAUGCUUAGAUAUCACGAAGAACCCCGAUUGCGAAGGCAGCCUGCUAAACUGUAACUGACGUUCAUGCUCGAAAGUGUGGGUAUCAAACAGG